UACGGAGGGUGCGAGCGUUGUCCGGAAUCACUGGGCGUAAAGGGCGCGUAGGUGGCGUCGCAAGUCAACGGUGAAAGCUCGACGCUCAACGUCGAGUCGGCCGUCGAGACUGCGAGGCUUGAGCACUGUAGAGGCAGAUGGAAUUCCGGGUGUAGCGGUGGAAUGCGUAGAGAUCCGGAAGAACACCGGUGGCGAAGGCGGUCUGCUGGGCAGUUGCUGACACUGAGGCGCGACAGCGUGGGGAGCAAACAGGG
rnacentral:rRNA from 1 species